rnacentral:ncRNA from 1 species
AAAACUCUACCACCGGGUAGGAAUGUAAUAAGCAUUCGCUUGCACAUCAUUAGGUCUUAGAAGAUGUGUAUAGCGGAUGCUCUUUUUUG